rnacentral:rRNA from 1 species
UACAGAGGUGACUAACGUUGUCCGGAAUUAUUGGGCGUAAAGGGCGCGUAGGUGGUCAGGUAAGUCAGGUCUGAAAGCUCUGGGCUUAACCCAGGAAUUGCAUCUGAUACUGCUUGGCUUGAGUACGGUAGAGGAGGGUGGAAUUCCCAGUGUAGCGGUGAAAUGCGUAGAUAUUGGGAGGAACACCGGUGGCGAAGGCGGCCCUCUGGACCGAAACUGACACUGAAGCGCGAAAGCUAGGGGAGCAAACGGG